rnacentral:rRNA from 1 species
AAAAAAUUGCGCCCUGAAUCCUGAUUCCUUGCCUAAGUGGCGGACGGGUGAGUAACGCGUGAGUAACCUGCCUUUUUGAGGGGGAUAACAUCGGGAAACCGAUGCUAAUACCGCAUAAAAUAUGAAAUUCGCAUGAGUUUUAUAUCAAAGGAGCAAUCCGCAAAAAGAUGGACUCGCGUCCGAUUAGCCAGUUGGCGGGGUAAAGGCCCACCAAAGCAACGAUCGGUAGCCGGGUUGAGAGACUGAACGGCCACAUUGGGACUGAGACACGGCCCAGACUCCUACGGGAGGCAGCAGUGGGGGAUAUUGCACAAUGGGGGAAACCCUGAUGCAGCAACGCCGCGUGAGGGAAGAAGGUUUUCGGAUUGUAAACCUCUGUCCAAAGGGAAGAAAAAGAUGACGGUACCUUUGGAGGAAGCUCCGGCUAACUACGUGCCAGCAGCCGCGGUAAUACGUAGGGAGCAAGCGUUGUCCGGAAUUACUGGGUGUAAAGGGUGCGUAGGCGGCCGUAAGGGUCAGACGUGAAAUAUAUGGGCUUAACCCAUAGACUGCGUUUGAAACUAUAUGGCUUGAGUGAAGUAGAGGCAGGCGGAAUUCCCUGUGUAGCGGUGAAAUGCGUAGAGAUAGGGAGGAACACC